AGAUGCAUCACUUCACAAUUUAUAUCCACUGAAGGUUCUUUCCUGCCCGUUGAUUUAAUUGAAUGAAGUGAAGGUUGGUCGUAAAACACCAUGAGAGGGAGAACUCAUAUACUGGAAAAAGCACUAUAAAUAUUUUCCUGGGAUCAUGAGCACAACCUUGUAACAUUUCACCUCCUGUGGUGGAAAGAAUUAUACAAUCCUUCUAUGAGACAUCUUCAAAGUGUUUACAAUUCCAUCCCAAAUGAGCGUGGCUUUUUUUAUUUUAAGUGUAAAGGAAACAUCCCAUAAUUCUUAAUUCUGUUAUCAAAGUUAGUUUUGACUUUUGAAGGGAUUCACUUGCUGGUGACUUGGAAGUGUCAAACAAAUGUUCGACUUUUAUUCUGACACUUCUUGAAGAAUUUGAUUGAAACUAAAUAUGUCCAGAUAACACCCAACAAAGUUCCCCUCUUGUGUUUGUUUCAAGAUAUUUUUGGAAACAACAGAGGCGACCUUGGAUGGGGCUGCUUUUCCAAUUUAGGGCUUCAUUUGGUCUAAGAGAGUACAAUUAUACUCUUCAAUCCUUUCACGUACCUGCAAAUGAGACAGUUUUAUUUUAUGCCAUUGGAGAAUUGUUUUUCUGUGCCUUCUUCACAGCGUGGAUCUCUUUAGGAUAAGAAUUAUUUUAGGUAAUCAACAGUCACUUUCAAAUGUACAUAUAAAUAGUCCUCCCAUGUAUUACAUGUCCCUUAAACCCAUUGUGUAAUCUAAAAGAGCAGUGCUCCUUUGUGCAGGACUUCUGCUGCUGGUAAUAAAGAAGUGUUAGCUUUUCUCUUUGCUUAUAGACAUCAAGAACCUGCUUUCAAGCCAGAGCUCACACAGACUUGAUGUAAAGUCAAAAUGAGGAGAGUGGUGAUGCUGGCCAGUGCUCUGGGAUGGGCUGCCCAUCUCUCCAGAUGACAAGAGAAAUAUUGUUUGUCAAGCCUGAAGUUUAAAAGCCAAGAUGAACAAACCACUGUUGGAACGAAACAGAAGGAAAACUAGGAAGCUAGUCCUUGUCUCCAGGCUGUGGCCCAGGAUUCCCAACCUGAUCUCCCUGAGGAACCCCCCGAGUCUUGUCCUGGGCACGGUUAUUCAGACCCCUGGACCCUCGUCCUGAGCCAAGGCACGAACAUACUGAGGCACAGAGGAUCCCUUGGAAUGAUCAGAAGGCACUCACACCAACUGCAGGGUCUGUUUUUUCCUCAUUUCUGUGGCACAUGUUGUAUCAGAAAUCACAGUUAAAAGAUAUUUUAUGCUCAAAAUUGAAAUAUUUUCUCACAUUUAACUCAGCCAAAAUUCCUGGGAUGGCAGAAUUAAAUUUGGAUUUGUUCUCAAGUGGCAAGGAAGCUACAAUAUGGAACAAUUUCUGUUUUUUUUUUACUCCUAAUUACAAAGACUGUUACUUUCUCUGCAGUUACAUCAUUUUAAAGAGUCAUUGGUAGCUGUCAAGUAAGUCCAUUGUCUCUGCCCAGAAUUUCCUAUGAAUUUUUUAGAGGAAUUUGCAUAUGUACUGAUCUAGAAGAAAUAAUAAUAUAUUUUUUUUGUAAAAUGCAAUGACUACAGCAGAUGGGAAGUGAUAUUCUCUGACAAACACUUUCAUGUAAGCAGCAUCUUAACCUCAGCUGAGACUUUUUUUUCCCAUGAGAGGCAGAAAGGUGGACUGCUACCUGAGGGCCAGACCAGGGACCACAUCUAAAAAUUAGAUUCCAGACUGGUCAGACUCAGACUGGGGGGAGAAUAAUGUUGGUGUUUUCAGUGUCUUUGUCUUCUGCCAAUAUUUUUAUUUUUUGUGGUAAAAAUAGCCCUCGAGGAAAAGACCUCACUGCAUGUAACUCUUUUUUUUUUCUGUUGAGUCAUUUGUUUUGUUUAGGUACCUACAUAGAGGUGAAGUUUUACAAAAUGCCUUCUGCGUGCAGGAAGAACUCCCCUCUGAACAGAUUCUCUACCUGAUCAUCAGGGGAAGAAAUCCAUCUCUAGCUGAUGAUAUAACAAGGGCAAGAAAAAGCAGCUAUUCAGAGGAGAAUUAUGUGAUUUGGUUAAUUUUUAUUUUUACUUCUAUCUACAAUCUCCUCUCCAACAGAAGAUCCUUAGUUGCAGAAGAGAAGGCUGAUGCCCAGGCUGGAGCAAAGGUGCCACUAAGGA